CAGUCGCCGCGGUAAUACGUAGGGUGCAAGCGUUAAUCGGAAUUACUGGGCGUAAAGCGUGCGCAGGCGGUUUGUUAAGACAGAUGUGAAAUCCCCGGGCUCAACCUGGGAACUGCAUUUGUGACUGGCAAGCUAGAGUGUGGCAGAGGGGGGUGGAAUUCCGCGUGUAGCGGUGAAAUGCGUAGAGAUCUGGAGGAAUACCGGUGGCGAAGGCGGCCCCCUGGACAAAGACUGACGCUCAGGUGCGAAAGCGUGGGGAGCAAACAGGAUUAGAUACCCCAGUAGUCCCUGUCUCUUAUAC
rnacentral:rRNA from 1 species